CUUACACUCUACAACAAUCAACCUAAAAUACAUACAGAAUCAUUCUGAAAACUCAUUUUUUUUUCAAGCUCAUAUUCAACCACACAUUCUAUUAAUAAAAUAAUUUGCACGUCCAAAACUUAUCCCUACUUUUUAAUCACAUAUUCUCCAAAAAAUCACAAAUAUAAAAUCCAUUUUUUAUGAAAUAUGGAGCUCAAACAAGGGCUAUGUUUAUGGAUUGUCAGGAUUGAUAAUUUAUUAUUUGAUAUUGAACUUGAAGUUGCUGCUUAACAUACUUCACGAAGAGUACAUAACAAUUCUGGACAAGGCCAGUUAUCUCUGUUGCUUCCUGCCCUGUAGCACAACCCAAAAAAUAGAAAAAUGAGGAGGGAAAAGAGAAUUAAAAUCUAUAAAAAGCUUGUAACUCGUAAGAAGAAAAUCUUGGAAAAUGCUAUUUGCUUAUGGAUUCUCCCAUCCAGGCGGUAAUAACUAGUGUUCUAUGUAGUUGUGCAUUGCUCGACUAGGUUUAGAAGUUUGUGUACGGGAUAAUGCUUUUUUUUGUCGGAUUGAGUCCACGACUUCAGCUUUUUGAAAUAAUUUUCAGUCUCAGUUGAAAGAGGUUUAAAAGUGCUGAGCAAGCUGUGGGAAGCAUCCUGGAAGGAGAUUUGCCAGACUUCAAUUGCUUAAGCCAAACAGAGUUCACAUCUUAGAAUGAAAAGUCGAGGAGCAUCCAAGAAUUAACAAAGAUUCAUCAAACCACAAUAAUAACAGUAAGUAAAGUGCAGAAAAUUGUAAAAUCUACACAAUGAUUUUUUGGCCGAAGCGAGACUACUUCUAACAUCUAAUUCCCUGUUGAGCAUCCAUUAAAAUGGAUAAAGCUCGGUUGCACUAUAAAACUCCAAAAACAAGCAACAAGUAUACAAUAAUGUUUCAGAAAUAUUACAAGAACCAAGUCACUAAGACUUAUCUUAACAGAACCAACAAGGCAGACCACACUUCCAAGAAGGAAUAAAAAAAUGGAUCACACAAAUCUCACAUUGCAUAUACUGCCUUCAAUGAAUCACACAUCUUUAAGAGAAAUCACAAAAACCGACUGCUAUUCCACCAAGGAAUCGAACGAGAUCAUUAAGAUCUCAUAAAACCUGAACUGCCUCAAAAAGAAUCACUCAGAUUCUUAUAAACCCAACUCAGCAGUACACUACUAUAAGGAACUAUAGUAUUUCAAGUAAACUAUGAAGAAGUAAAGGUUCUUCACCGAGAGAGUGAGCCAGAGAGCCGACCCCAAAACCAAGAAAAAUCUCUCAAUAAUUUGCCAUCCAGAAGAAGAGUCACAAGACUUUAUAGGUGGAAGGAUCUAGAACUCAAUCGGACGGCCUCCAAGUCACCACGUGUCAAGAUCUUGUUGAAAGCUUCCACUAAUUAAUUUGUCGUUUGUAAAACAUGUUUUUCUGUAUUUUGGAAGCACA
rnacentral:lncRNA from 1 species